UUCAAUGGCAACAGGAUCUGCACAACUCUGAGGUGUUUUCACUUUGGUUGCUGGGAGGUAGGGAUGAGAGAUGGUUAAUUUAAGUAACUGAUGCAAAAAGAGGACACAGAUACCAACAAUAGCAACUAACAACGACUAACAAUAAAGGACAAUACCAGAGCCAUCACUUGUGUAGUGGCCAAAAAUAAUGUUCUACAGGCACAACAAGCUGAAAUGGAAGGGUUAGGGUAGGGCAAGGUUUAGGGGGGUGUUAGAUCCCGAGUUACCCCUGUACAGGUGGUACUGGUCCAGCUCUCCGUCUAACAGGUCCGAUCCUCAAGCCCGUGGGUCUUACCCUAUCGGGACGGUCUAGAGGAUUGUUUAAGCUGGUGGCGAGGAGAUGCGCCUAGCUACUAACUGCCUUCGUCCGCACGUCUACCCUGCUUAUUCUAAAGUAGCACCCAACUGAAUAGCCCCUAGGGCCAAGUACUACACCAGCCACGUACGUUCACGGCAGCUCUCCUCUCAUUGAUCUGGGCACUUGGUAUGGUUGCUAGGAUGAUUUUAGUGGCUUGAACAGUAAGCCCCAAGGGUUCGUUAAUUUCUUAGGCUAGUGUAACCUGUUAGAACCGUUAAAGAUGUUAAACACUAUACCUGAUAAUUACAACCUUAGGAGAUGCUAAAAAUUUGAUGUCCACAACUUGAUCUUUAACUGCAGUAGAUAUAUUUAUUGCAAAGUUUAGCAAGGGCAAGACUACAGCUGAAUUCAUUAAAAUCUGAUCAAUCCUAUUUCCUAAAAUCACUUAUCUCAUACUAAUACAUUACAAAGGCUGCUGCUGAGUUGUUGAGAUUGUCCAAUUUUGGAGAGAGGAAGGGAAAGGGUGAAGCAAUGAUCAGUCGAUCCAAUCCUUUCUCAACUGCAAAACUGC